UUUUUUUUUCUGCUCAGAGACGAACGCGCGGCGGGCGUGCCUAAUAACAUGCAAGUCGAGGCGGACUAGACGGAAGCUUGCUCUGUUCAAGUUAGCGGCGGACGGGUGAGUAACACGUGGGUAACCUGCCUGUAAGACUGGGAUAACUCCGGGAAACCGGGGCUAAUACCGGAUAUUCUUUCUUCUCCGCAUGGAGAAGAAUGGAAAGGCGGCUUCGGCUGUCACUUACAGAUGGACCCGCGGCGCAUUAGCUAGUUGGUGGGGUAACGGCCCACCAAGGCGACGAUGCGUAGCCGACCUGAGAGGGUGAUCGGCCACACUGGGACUGAGACACGGCCCAGACUCCUACGGGAGGCAGCAGUAGGGAAUCUUCCGCAAUGGACGAAAGUCUGACGGAGCAACGCCGCGUGAGUGAAGAAGGUUUUCGGAUCGUAAAGCUCUGUUGUUAGGGAAGAACAAGUACGGGAGUAACUGUCCGUACCUUGACGGUACCUAACCAGAAAGCCACGGCUAACUACGUGCCAGCAGCCGCGGUAAUACGUAGGUGGCAAGCGUUGUCCGGAAUUAUUGGGCGUAAAGCGCGCGCAGGCGGCUUCUUAAGUCUGAUGUGAAAGCCCACGGCUCAACCGUGGAGGGUCAUUGGAAACUGGGAGGCUUGAGUGCAGAAGAGGAGAGCGGAAUUCCACGUGUAGCGGUGAAAUGCGUAGAGAUGUGGAGGAACACCAGUGGCGAAGGCGGCUCUCUGGUCUGUAACUGACGCUGAGGCGCGAAAGCGUGGGGAGCGAACAGGAUUAGAUACCCUGGUAGUCCACGCCGUAAACGAUGAGUGCUAAGUGUUGGAGGGUUUCCGCCCUUCAGUGCUGCAGCUAACGCAUAAGCACUCCGC
rnacentral:rRNA from 1 species